UAUCCCAGACUAUAGGGCAUAUUCCAAUGUAUUACUCACCCGUUCGCCACUUAGUCUCCCCAGUCACGAUAUACUCUCUAACCAGUCUAAGUGGCGCACGGGUGAGUAAUGUAUAGAUAAUAUGCCUUUUACUAAGGGAUAACAGUUGGAAACGGCUGCUAAUACCUUAUAUGCCUUUAAUACAUAAGUAUGCAAGGGAAAGAUUUAUUGGUAAAAGAUUAGUCUGUAUUGUAUCAGUUAGUUGGUGAGGUAAUGGCUCACCAAGACUAUGACGCAUAACUGGUUUGAGAGGAUGAUCAGUCACACUGGAACUGAGACACGGUCCAGACUCCUACGGGAGGCAGCAGUGGGGAAUAUUGCACAAUGGGGGAAACCCUGAUGCAGCAACGCCGCGUGGAGGAUGACACAUUUCGGUGCGUAAACUCCUUUUAUAUAGGAAGAUAAUGACGGUACUAUAUGAAUAAGCACCGGCUAACUCCGUGCCAGCAGCCGCGGUAAUACGGAGGGUGCAAGCGUUACUCGGAAUCACUGGGCGUAAAGAGCGUGUAGGCGGGUAUAUAAGUCAGAAGUGAAAUCCUAUAGCUUAACUAUAGAACUGCUUUUGAAACUGUAUACCUAGAAUGUGGGAGAGGUAGAUGGAAUUUCUGGUGUAGGGGUAAAAUCCGUAGAGAUCAGAAGGAAUACCGAUUGCGAAGGCGAUCUACUGGAACAUUAUUGACGCUGAGACGCGAAAGCGUGGGGAGCAAACAGGAUUAGAUACCCUGGUAGUCCACGCCCUAAACGAUGUCAACUGGUUGUUGGGUCUUCACUGACUCAGUAACGAAGCUAACGCGUGAAGUUGACCGCCUGGGGAGU
rnacentral:rRNA from 1 species